UACAGAGGAUGCAAGCGUUAUCCGGAAUGAUUGGGCGUAAAGCGUCUGUAGGUGGCUUUUUAAGUCCGCCGUCAAAUCCCAGGGCUCAACUCUGGACAGGCGGUGGAAACUACCAAGCUGGAGUACGGUAGGGGCAGAGGGAAUUUCCGGUGGAGCGGUGAAAUGCGUAGAUAUGUGGAAGAAUACCGGUGGUGAAGACGGUUUUCUGUGCUAAGCCAGACGCUGAGGCGCGAAAGCUAGGGGAGCAAACAGG
rnacentral:rRNA from 1 species